rnacentral:rRNA from 1 species
CCUACGGGAGGCAGCAGUGGGGAAUAUUGGGCAAUGGGCGCAAGCCUGACCCAGCAAUGCCGCGUGGGUGAAGAAGGUCUUCGGAUUGUAAAGCCCUUUCGGCGGGGACGAUGGUGACGGUACCCGCAGAAGAAGCCCCGGCCAACUUCGUGCCAGCAGCCGCGGUAAUACGAAGGGGGCUAGCGUUGCUCGGAAUCACUGGGCGUAAAGGGCGCGUAGGCGGCCCCGUUGGUCGGGCGUGAAAUCCCCGGGCUCAACCCGGGGGCUGCGCCCGAAACGGCGGGGCUUGAGGCGAGGAGAGGGCCGCGGAAUUCCCAGUGUAGAGGUGAAAUUCGUAGAUAUUGGGAAGAACACCGGUGGCGAAGGCGGCGGCCUGGCCUCGAACUGACGCUGAGGCGCGACAGCGUGGGGAGCAAACAGGAUUAGAUACCCUAGUAGUC